UGUGCAUGAAUUUUUGUGCAAUCCUAUUUACAAACCAACUGAAAAAAAAAAAUAAAGAGUUCCAAUCCCAGAGUACACUGUGUAGCUCCGAGCGUGCCAGAGAAGGCAGCUGUGGUGCACUUGUGAUGGCCUCUGAGGGCUCCGGGCACUGUCCUCACUACGGCGGUGGGUUCCGCUGCCUGAGAGAAUCCAUUACAGGAACUCAAGCUUCAGGUGGUCCUUUAUAACCCAGCUCAAGAGGAUGAGUCUCCAAGAUUCAGGAGGAGCAUAGCUGUGCCUCAGCUGCAAUGUUCCUGUGACCUAAUCUGCGGGGAAAUUCGGAUUGGUAAAUUUGUCCCAAAACACAUCGUUGCGUUGUUGUGGUGGUGGUUGCUAAGUCCAAUCUCCAGUGAAUAUAUUCUGGAAUUAGAUAUAAACUAUUGAUAUUAUAAGAGCCCUAAAACAGGAAAUCCUGCUGUGGUGGUCACAGCUCAAUUGAUAAAAUGACCUCCAUACAAAGAAAAGGGCUCGGAGUGAAUGAAAGGUGGCCACAGGUGCGGAGGAACCUGGACGCCUUCACAGGCAAGUGAGGUCCAAACUGUUCCAGAUCGUAUCCUCUGGUUGGUGGAAUUAUUUGAAACACUCUUGUUUUUUUUUUAGCUCCUGGUUCAACUUUAAUUUGCUCUGCCCUUUAGAAGAAUGCAGACUGCAGCUGCGGCCCCUGCCCUGGCCCUGGCCACCCACUGAUGGUCUGAGCUACCUACACACCCUUUGGCCUUGUAUUCAGUUACUUCCCAAAGCUCUUUAAAAGUCUUAAGAAGAUGACAAAGUGAUUUUACUGGUACUGUGAAUUCUUGUCACAUACAAAAUGAGAGCUGGAUUCCAAGGCCUUGGCCGGGGAGUUUCUGGUAUUAUCGUGGCACACGCUGAACGCUGCACUGACCCCAGUGAGUGCGGAAGCAUCUCAGCUCUGACUACUCCGUUUUCUCUGCAGUACUCUCUGACCCGAUCCAAGAGAAAAAUGUGCUGCAAUAUUGGCUGUCUUCUGUUGGUGUUGCUAAGUUACUGAAUAUUUUGCCUUGCCUUGCCCAGAAAACUGGGCUAAUUGUCUUUAAAGAGAUAAACCAUGUUCUGGAACAUC